rnacentral:rRNA from 1 species
GAUGAACGCUGACAGAAUGCUUAACACAUGCAAGUCUACUUGAAUUUGGGUUUUUUAACUUAGAUUUGGGUGGCGGACGGGUGAGUAACGCGUAAAGAACUUGCCUCACAGCUAGGGACAACAUUUGGAAACGAAUGCUAAUACCUGAUAUUAUGAUUAUAAGGCAUCUUAGAAUUAUGAAAGCUAUAUGCGCUGUGAGAGAGCUUUGCGUCCCAUUAGCUAGUUGGAGAGGUAACGGCUCACCAAGGCGAUGAUGGGUAGCCGGCCUGAGAGGGUGAACGGCCACAAGGGGACUGAGACACGGCCCUUACUCCUACGGGAGGCAGCAGUGGGGAAUAGUGGACAAUGGACCAAGAGUCUGAUCCAGCAAUUCUGUGUGCACGAUGACGUUUUUCGGAAUGUAAAGUGCUUUCAGUUGGGAAGAAAAAAAUGACGGCACCAACAGAAGAAGUGACGGCUAAAUACGUG